AGAACGCGGGUGAUAAGGUCCGUGUUCGAAAGGGAAACAGCCCAGACCACCAGCUAAGGUCCCAAAAUAUAUGUUAAGUGGAAAAGGAUGUGGCGUUGCCCAGACAACUAGUAUGUUGGCUUAGAAGCAGCCAUCAUUUAAAGAGUGCGUAAUAGCUCACUAGUCGAGUGACACUGCGCCGAAAAUGUACCGGGGCUAAACAUAUUACCGAAGCUGUGGAUUGUCCGUAGGACAAUGGUAGGAGAGCGUUCUAAGGGCGUUGAAGCAUGAUCGUAAGGACAUGUGGAGCGCUUAGAAGUGAGAAUGCCGGUGUGAGUAGCGAAAGACGGGUGAGAAUCCCGUCCACCGAUUGACUAAGGUUUCCAGAGGAAGGCUCGUCCGCUCUGGGUUAGUCGGGUCCUAAGCUGAGGCCGAUAGGCGUAGGCGAUGGAUAACAGGUUGAUAUUCCUGUACCACCAUGCAUCGUUUUAAGCGAUGGGGGGACGCAGUAGGAUAGGCGAAGCGUACGAUUGGAUUGUACGUCCAAGCAGUAAGACUGAGUGUUAGGCAAAUCCGGCACUCUUAAGGUCAAGCUGUGAUGGGGAGAGGAAAUUGUUUCCUCGAGUCGUUGAUUUCACACUGCCGAGAAAAGCCUCUAGCUAGAUUUAUGGUGCCCGUACCGCAAACCGACACAGGUAGUCAAGAUGAGAAUUCUAAGGUGAGCGAGCGAACUCUCGUUAAGGAACUCGGCAAAAUGACCCCGUAACUUCGGGAGAAGGGGUGCUCUUUAGGGUUCACGCCCAGGAGAGCCGCAGUGAAUAGGCCCAAGCGACUGUUUAUCAAAAACACAGGUCUCUGCUAAACCGUAAGGUGAUGUAUAGGGGCUGACGCCUGCCCGGUGCUGGAAGGUUAAGAGGAGUGGUUAGCUUCUGCGAAGCUACGAAUCGAAGCCCCAGUAAACGGCGGCCGUAACUAUAACGGUCCUAAGGUAGCGAAAUUCCUUGUCGGGUAAGUUCCGACCCGCACGAAAGGCGUAACGAUUUGGGCACUGUCUCAACGAGAGACUCGGUGAAAUCAUAGUACCUGUGAAGAUGCAGGUUACCCGCGACAGGACGGAAAGACCCCGUGGAGCUUUACUGUAGUCUGAUAUUGAAAUUCGGUACAGCUUGUACAGGAUAGGUAGGAGCCUUAGAUACGUGAGCGCUAGCUUACGUGGAGGCGUUGGUGGGAUACUACCCUCGCUGUAUUGGAUUUCUAACCCGCACCAUUAAUCAUGGUGGGAGACAGUGUCAGAUGGACAGUUUGACUGGGGCGGUCGCCUCCUAAAGAGUAACGGAGGCGCUCAAAGGUUUCCUCAGAAUGGUUGGAAAUCAUUCAUAGAGUGUAAAGGCACAAGGAAGCUUGACUGCGAGACUUACAAGUCGAGCAGGGUCGAAAGACGGACUUAGUGAUCCGGUGGUUCCGCAUGGAAGGGCCAUCGCUCAACGGAUAAAAGCUACCCCGGGGAUAACAGGCUUAUCUCCCCCAAGAGUUCACAUCGACGGGGAGGUUUGGCACCUCGAUGUCGGCUCAUCGCAUCCUGGGGCUGUAGUCGGUCCCAAGGGUUGGGCUGUUCGCCCAUUAAAGCGGUACGCGAGCUGGGUUCAGAACGUCGUGAGACAGUUCGGUCCCUAUCCGUCGUGGGCGUAGGAAAUUUGAGAGGAGCUGUCCUUAGUACGAGAGGACCGGGAUGGACAUACCUCUGGUGUACCAGUUGUCGUGCCAACGGCAUCGCUGGGUAGCUAUGUAUGGACGGGAUAAGUGCUGAAAGCAUCUAAGCAUGAAGCCCCCCUCAAGAUGAGAUUUCCCAACUUCGGUUAUAAGAUCCCUCAAAGAUGAUGAGGUUAAUAGGUUCGAGGUGGAAGCAUAGCGAUAUGUGGAGCUGACGAAUACUAAUCGAUCGAAGACUUAAUCAAAUU
rnacentral:rRNA from 1 species